AAAUUAAAUUCCACAAUUCAAUAACACAACAGAUGAUCAUCCGAAGGCUUAAAAUAAUUAAAAAUAAAAAUCCAGAACAAUAGAAAUGUCUCGAAGAUAUCAAAAAGGGAACAAAAUGGGAUUCUCAAUUAAAAAAAAAAGCCCCAAAAAAUUAUACAAACCCGUGUAUAUUUACAGAACGUAUAUAUGUCAUGGAUUAAUAUAUAUAACAUAUAUAAUUGAUAUAGCGCAGCUAUGACUCAAAACGCUUCCAUAUAUGCCAGUGGGAAGGCGAUCUUAAGGGCUGCGCCAUAGAAGAACAGCAAAUAUAUAUAGAAAAUCGGAAAUUAUUCCUCAAUUGAAGAGAAACCCUAGCUACGUCUGAGUCUGUUU
rnacentral:lncRNA from 1 species